UACGGGGGGAGCAAGCGUUGUUCGGAUUUACUGGGCGUAAAGGGCGCGUAGGCGGUCGUGACAAGUCACUUGUGAAAUCUCCGGGCUUAACUCGGGACGGUCAAGUGAUACUGUCGGACUAGAGUACAGAAGGGGCAACUGGAAUUCUCGGUGUAGCGGUGAAAUGCGUAGAUAUCGGGAGGAACACCUGUGGCGAAAGCGGCGCACUGGACCAUAACUGACGCUGAGGCGCGAAAGCUAGGGGAGCAAACAGG
rnacentral:rRNA from 1 species